GGUCUCAGCCACAGCUGAUGUCUUCCUCUCCUAGCCAUUCUAGAUUUCCCACACCCUCAGCUAGCACCUCUACUGCCCCUGAUGGCUUACCCGGGCCCUAAUAUCUGAGAGGGUCUAAGCCCUUAGUCACUUUGCCUUUCUAUGACUGGAAGCUACAUUUAUUUCUUGUCAAAACUGGACAAGCAUGUACUAAAAAAGAUCCAUCACAGAUAACCUGGGAGUCACAUGUAUUCCUCCUUGGCCCUAUCUCUUCCUAGUGACUAGAGUCAAGUAUCCCUGCUGUAUAACUUCUUUCCUUACCUACUGGUCUCUUGGCAAAAUAAGCUCAAAGUGACUAGGUGGAAGCUAUGUCUCUUCCUGUGUCUCUGGUGGAUGUACUCCCCUCCUGCAAAUGAGAACCUCUAAACAUACAGGUCUCAGAGUUGAGAAGGAUGAGAAACACAAAUACCCCAAGUGGGUCACUGGGAGCGAUGGUGAGACACUUCUUUCCACACUUAGUUCCUUGAAGGGCAAUCUAUUAUUAUCUAUUGCUGCGUAGCAUAUUACCCCGAAACUUAGUAGCUCAAGACAGCACAUAUUUCUUUCUUUUUUGUGUCUGUGUUCGUAGAGACAGGGUAUGUCAGUGUUUCCCAGGCUGGUCUCCAACUCUUGACCUCAAGUGAUCCUUCCUCCUUGGCCUCCCAAAGUGCUGGGAUUAUAGGCGUGAGCCACUGCACCCGGCCAACAAGUGUUUGUUAUUGCACAGUUCCUAUGGGCCAGGAAUACAGGUGCAGCUUAACUAGGUCCCUGUGGCUCAAGAUCUUUCAUGAAUUUGCUGUCGGGUUGUUUGACCAAGACUGCAGUCUCAUUGUGAGGCUCAAAUGAGGGAAUAUUAUUUUCCAAGAUCACUCACAUGGUUGUUAGUAGGCCCCAGCCCCCUUUCACAUGGGUCUGUCCACAGGGAUACCUCACAUUAUGACAUCCAGCUUCCAAGCAAGCAAGCCAAAAGAUGGUGAAAAAGAAAGCAUCUGAAACAAAUCUUCUUAUAAUUUAGUGUUAGAAGUGACAGCCUAUCACUUCUACCAUAUUCUGUUAUUAUAAGUCAGUCAAUAAGUUCACACUCAAGAGGCAGAGAUUACACGAAGAUGUGAAUAAUAGGAGUCAGGGAUCACUGAGUCUCAUCUUAGAGGCUGCUUGUCCCACCAUGUUUGCAGGGUAUUGUCUCCAAGUUGGUACCUCAAUUUUAUCUUCAAAGGUCAUUCCAUUAUGCUAUCAGGCUGGCAGCUUCUAGAUGUUACAGAAUGUGAUAAUGCCACACUAGAUACCCAUGCUUAGUAUCUGUCUUAGUCUGCUUUAAGUGCUAAGGCUGCAUACCACAGGACUGGAUACUUUAUAAAGAAAACUUUAUUUAGAGUUCCAGAGGCUGGGAAGCCCAGGAGCAUGGUGCUAGCAUCUGG
rnacentral:lncRNA from 1 species